rfam:Dendroctonus ponderosae Seq01027255, whole genome shotgun sequence.
UAUAAUGUAGAUAUUAAUAAAUGUUUUAUCUAUCUAUCUAUCUCGUCCGAUCACCGAAGUUAAGCAACGUCGGGCGCGGUAAGUACUUGGAUGGGUGACUGCUUGGGAACACCGCGUGCCGUUGUCU